rnacentral:lncRNA from 1 species
CGAGAAGGUAUCUAGCGACCCAAACUUGGUCACCAGCACUAAUACCCUCAACAGGACCGACUUGGAACUCCCACUGACCAGGCAUGACUUCUCCAUUGACACCAGAGAUGCCAAUACCUGCGUAAAUACAGGCCUUGUAGUGUGCAUCCACAAUGUCACGACCAAUUGCCUUGUCAGCUCCCACACCACAGUAGUAAGGUCCCUGAGGGCCAGGGAAGCCACCGAUAGGCCAACCAAUAGGCCAGUUCACACCCUUCUGCAUCAAUGUGUAUUCUUGCUCAAUCCCAUACCUUUUUAAGUCAAAGGGAAGAGAAGAGUAUUAGUAUAUGAUUAACUGAUUAACAGAGAGAUCAAUAGAGGAAGAAGAAGAGGAGCUUACCAAGGCUCCUCAGAGGCAACUUUGGGGUUGCUGAAGAUCUUAGCAGCGUUGUGCCUCUUGUUGGUCGGAAUUGGAUUCCCUGCCGGCGUGUAAGCAUCACACAUCACCUGCAUAUAUAGAUAACAAUAAACAAUGAUUUUCUUAAAAUUUGAUUUUGUAACAAAUGAAUAUUGUCACGCUCUAAUCAUAUAAAAUUAAACCUACCAGAAUGUUGUUGCCUUUCCUGAACGGAUCACGGAAUAUCGCCUGAGGGCUAUCGAUCAUUCAUUAACAAAACAAAACAAAGAUCAACACUUUUUACUUCAUAUUUACUUGAUGUUUUAUAUGUAAAUAGAGAUAAUAAAAGAACAUACUAUAGAAUGACUUCACUGUCAUCUCCGGCGGCUUGACCGGUGCUGGAUCCGUCGUAGUUCCACUUAGGCAGCUUUGAUGGAUCGCUCACUGGUCCUGGUAGUGUCUGUAUCAUCCAAAACAAAUCAGAUCAGCCAAAUAAAAAAACAGAGGAUAAAAACAGAGGAUCAAGAAACAGAGUAUUUAUUUAAUUACCCUGGCUUUGCUUCUGAUGUCCAUUCCAGAUCCACCGAUCCUGUUCAUUCAAAGUUCAUACGAAAACUCACAAACCCAGAAGACGACAAGAAAGAAAAUAUCAAAAAAGAGACAUGCUAAGCUUUAUGUUCUACAAUAAUGUGUAGGCCCCCGUUUUUUUUCUUGCCUAGGGUCUCACGUAUUACAGGGACGGCCCUGCGCGCAUCUAUUAGUUGAUUCAAUAACAACAUUACUUCUUCUUUUAAUAACAAUACUCCCUCUGUUUCUUUUUAUAUGAUGUUUGGGCUUAGUACAAAAAGAUUGAAAAAUAUAUUCUUCUAAAAAGCAUAUUUAAAGAUAUAAUUUUUUAAAAAAUCAACCAAUUAUAAAAAAGACACUAAAAUUUUAGUGAUUGAACAAUUUCCAAUAAAAUUAAAAUUAACCUUAAAAUUUUUAAACGUCAUAUAUUUUGAAACAAUAUAAUUUUUUUUAAAACAUUAUAUAAUUUGAAACGGAUAGAGUAUUAUUUUCUUCAAAACAAAAUAAAUUAAACUAUUUUGGGUAUCAAUUUUUAAAAAUCUAAGAACACGUUGUUAGCUUAUUAAAAUUCAGAAAACUGUUAAUUUACAUUCGACUCAUCACCAAUCGGCAAUCGUAGGUUUUGUCGACAACAUAAAAUCAUAACUUUGCAAUUACUUUAUAAAAAGCUAAAUUAAGUGGGUUGGACGUCAUGAUUAGUAAAUUACUAACUUUACAAGGAACGUGUUCAAAAUGGCUACACUAAUCAAAAGCGUGAUACGUUGGCCAAAGAAUAAAAGAAUCAAAUUGUGAUACAAAAACGCACAGAGGUACAAAAGUACUAACAAUGUACUUGCGUUUCAUGACUUGCCGAAACUUAAGAAAACGCUAAUACAACUUUUCAUCGUCAUCCUUUUUAGGUUAGCAAUGGCCACUAUUCCCAACUUAAGAGAAAUGCGUCGCAACUUUUCUCAGUGGAGUAGUCACGAACGUCCCACUCAGAUAAUAAAUUAUCAUGUCAAUAAAUAAAAGUUGGAUUUGACUUUUCCUCCGUAGCUAGUCACGGAUUUCAAUGAACACUUUAUCAGUACGGUGCACGUGACGAGCAUAGCGAUGUGUUCCCACCUAAAAAUCCACCACCCUACCUCUUCGGAAUUAUAAAUAUUUUAAAAAAUUCCCAAGUAGGUCACAUGCCACAUCAUGAAUAUUGUUGAUAAAGAAUAUUCAACAUUAUUAGGUAAGUAACAUGCCACAUCCUGCAUAAUGUUGUAAAGAAUAUUCAACACUUAAAUUUUAAGAUAGAUUCAUAAUUAUUAAUCACCAGAUCUUAUCCACCUACUUUACUACUCCCGACAAGCUCAUUAACCUCCAACGUGCCAGGCCGUACUUUGUUAUUAUUAUUAUCAUUUCAAAACAACAACAACACAAAAGUCGCUGAUUGACUUUUUUCACCGCAUGAAUACCCUUAUUUAAUUAUUCGAAACUAAGAAGAAGAAAAAACACAAAAUGUCGUCAUAAGAAUUAUUGAAACCGAAAUAGACCGCGAUCACAAGUACAACAGUAUUCAAAUCAUAAAACCAAACCGGAGAAAAUCAAAUAUUACUAAAUGUGUGUGGUUUAACCGAGGAUGGUGGUUUCAGCGAUCAUGGACGUAACAACGUAAGGAUCCAUGUUAGAAGCUGGCCUUCUGUCCUCGAAGUAACCUUUGCCUUCUUUCUCAGUGUCUCUCCCCACUCUCACCGAAGCCCCACGGUUCGCCACUCCCCAAGAGAACGUGUUGAUGUCUGCAGUUUCGUGCUUCCCCGUGAGACGACGCUCGUUGCCUUCACCGUAAGCAGCAAUGUGCUCCUUGUGCUUCACCUGAAGCUUCUCUAUCGCUUUCUUAAUCACAGCUAAUCCUCCGUCGUUCCUCAUUGACUUCGUGCUGUAGUUGCAGUGAGCUCCAGCUCCGUUCCAAUCACCCUGAACCAACGCAACAAUGUUACAACUUAUUGCACAAGAAGAGUGUGGUUAGAGAUUAGAGACACUAACCGGGACUGGUUUAGGGUCGAAGCUGACAUUCACACCAGAGAUCUCAGUGAUCCUCUGUCGGAAAGAUGAUAACCGUUAGCAAAGUUUGAAGCAUUUUAUGGGGAACAUAACCGGUGAAGUACAGAUUAGUCUUACCUCGAGAAGGUAUCUAGCGACCCAAACUUGGUCACCAGCACUAAUACCCUCAACAGGACCGACUUGGAACUCCCACUGACCAGGCAUGACUUCUCCAUUGACACCAGAGAUGCCAAUACCUGCGUAAAUACAGGCCUUGUAGUGUGCAUCCACAAUGUCACGACCAAUUGCCUUGUCAGCUCCCACACCACAGUAGUAAGGUCCCUGAGGGCCAGGGAAGCCACCGAUAGGCCAACCAAUAGGCCAGUUCACACCCUUCUGCAUCAAUGUGUAUUCUUGCUCAAUCCCAUACCUUU